rnacentral:tRNA from 1 species
GUGUUGAGGGUAUAGCUUAGUGAUAGAGUGCUUGCCUAGCAUGCACAAGGUCCUGGGUUCAAUCCCAGCAGCACA